AGAGGAAGAGAAUGACACGAGAGCGGACAGAACAGAGGAGGUUGUGGUCUAGGUGGAACCUGCCCCAAAAACACCGAC